CACGUAGGGCGCAAGCGUUUGUCCGGAAUUAUUGGGCGUAAAGAGCUCGUAGGCGGUCUGUUGCGUCCGCUGUGAAAACUCGGGGCUUAACCCCGAGCCUGCAGUGGAUACGGGCAGACUAGAGGUAGGUAGGGGAGAAUGGAAUUCCCGGUGUAGUGGUGAAAUGCGUAGAUAUCGGGAGGAACACCAGUGGCGAAGGCGACUACCUGGCCUGUUCUUGACGCUGAGGCGCGAAAGCUAGGGGAGCAAACGGG
rnacentral:rRNA from 1 species